GAUCUGCAAGGGUAACCUCGGUCGAAAGGCCGAGGGCGCAAAAUUUCCGGUCUAAGGGGCGAGUCCCUACGAUAGCGGGAUUACCAGA
rnacentral:ncRNA from 1 species